UACGUAGGGGGCUAGCGUUGCCCGGAUUGACUGGGCGUAAAGGGCGCGUAGGCGGUCUGUACAGUUGGGCGUGAAAUUCCUGGGCUUAACCUGGGGGCUGCGUUCAAUACGUGCAGGCUUGAGUUCGGAAGAGGGUCGUGGAAUUCCCAGUGUAGAGGUGAAAUUCGUAGAUAUUGGGAAGAACACCGGUGGCGAAGGCGGCGACCUGGUCCGAUACUGACGCUGAGGCGCGAAAGCGUGGGGAGCAAACAGG
rnacentral:rRNA from 1 species